GAUGAACGCUGGCGGCGUGCUUAACACAUGCAAGUCGAACGAAGCACUUUUAAUUCUUCGGAAGAGAAAGUGACUGAGUGGCGGACGGGUGAGUAACGCGUGGGUAACCUGCCUUAUACAGGGGGAUAACAGUUGGAAACGACUGCUAAUACCGCAUAAGCCGGUAGAGCCGCAUGGCUUCUUCGGAAAAGAUUUAUCGGUAUAAGAUGGACCCGCGUCUGAUUAGCUUGUUGGCGGGGUAACGGCCCACCAAGGCUACGAUCAGUAGGGGUUCUGAGAGGAAGGUCCCCCACAUUGGAACUGAGACACGGUCCAAACUCCUACGGGAGGCAGCAGUGAGGAAUAUUGCACAAUGGGGGAAACCCUGAUGCAGCGACGCCGCGUGAAGGAAGAAGUAUCUCGGUAUGUAAACUUCUAUCAGCAGGGAAGAUAGUGACGGUACCUGUCUAAGAAGCCCCGGCUAACUACGUGCCAGCAGCCGCCGUAA
rnacentral:rRNA from 1 species